AAAAAAAAAAGUAGAAGGGUACCUGUGUGGAGAUUGAAGAGGAUAUGUCAGUGAUAAACAAAUCCCUAUCUGAUGGGAUAUAAGAAAUAGGAACGAGUGAAUCAUGCAGGAAGCCAAAGAAGUAUAAAGAUUGGGUAAGAAACUUGGGCUAAAUACAAAUGGAGAUAAGGAAGAAAUUUUUUUCACAACCGAUUGGUAUGGUGGGCACUUCAUUGGCAAAAACUAAGUAACAGGUGGUAAAAAUGGUUCAUGCCUUAAGUUUAUUUGUCUAAACUGGUAUGGAAGCUAAGGCUUUUAUGGUGUUUGACUACAACCAAUUUGAUUGGCUUAUAAGGCAUACUACCACCAUCGACUAAUACCUUCUCCACGCGUAAUUGUAUUCCCGAGCCUAAACUUGUUUCAUAAACUAGAACCUAUCCUUUUUAAUGAAUCUAAGUCAAGUAUAGAUCCCAUUAGGAAAGAUAGAUUCAAUUAAACGGUCAACACCUAAACAUAGAAUAUUGGUAGUGACACCUAUACACAUCGAGUGGUUGGAGUGAAAUUUUCACUGUAUUCUUCGACGACAUAUAAUCUGGUUAGUUGCCUAUAAACCGUUCUUGAUUCAUUUGUUUUUUAUUUUAAGCGAUAAUAUAGAAAUACGGAUUCAUUUCCCGUGGCAUUACUAUUUGUCAUUCUAUUCAUCUAGUUUUCCACAUUCCAAGCAUUCUAAGAUCCUUUUGACUAUUUUGUUCAUGAAACAAGUGAUCAUAUAUUGAAUACAAUAAUAUUACUCUCAUUUUGUGAUAGCUCCACUCAAAUUGUUGUUCAUUAAUUAUUUAGAUAAAUACAACAAAUAAUACACGGUUUCUAACAAGCCCUUGAUGCAUAAAAAUUGUAAUAGCUAUUAUAAAGUGUGGAAAAAGUAAUCGCUUCAUGUCCUUGGAAGUGAACUUUAAUCCUAAUGCUCAUGGCCUUUUUGUCUUGUGCUCUUGAGGAUGAAUGGUGUCACAAUCCACAUGAACAAAAGCUCGCUCUACUUGAGGAAGUUGCUCAAGCUUAUCUUCAAGAGUUUGUCCAAUGUCAUGUGCUUGGCCAAGAGGCAUGUCCUCAGGCAAAACUAUGUGAACCUCCACAAAAUACUGAGUACCAAAUGUGUAUGCUCUAACAGUCUCUAUGUGUGUAAUCUCUUCAUGGUGGUUCCAUAUUAAGUAUGUCAGCUUCGCUAGAUAGUCUGACGGUGCUGUCUUCCCGAUUAGUGCCCAAACGUUAUCCAUCACUGUCUUCGCCCAAUUCCCCAUUGUGUAUAAUGCUAUCUGCACCAUAUAUAGUUUAAUUAGUAUAUAUAGUCUUGUCAUUGUUCAACUCAUGUUCUUUAAAUUUGUUAGGUCACAUCCUCGUGACCAUGUCCUUGACGUUUAAAGUAUCCUAUCUAGUUCCAUCAUGCAACAUACGUAUGAGUAUUUUCAGAAAAAUUUAACAUAUUAAAGUGUAUGUAUAUCAUGAACUUACAAGAAUUGCCCCAAGAGGAUCAAUCCACCAGUAGAAUUUGAUAGCUAACACUGCUGUUCCUAGACCAAUUGAGUUAGUAACGACGUCGAAGAAAUGAUCUUGAGCAUAUGCCCUAACGAUUUCGUCAUCGAACGUGCGACAAUACACCGUGAGCACCACUUUUACCAAUGUCACUGAUACCAUAAUCCCAAUCAUCCAUUUUUCUUUUUCAGGAUCCCUUUCUGGUUGUGCCUGCAAUUCAUAAUCACUGCUCAUUGUUAGAAGGUCAAAGUUUAACACUUCUUUUCUUAUUAGUCCAAAGCCUUUUUUUUUGUAAUUAAACUUCAACUUAGAGUAGUUAAUUGGUGCAUGCAAGCUCACAUACCUUCAUAACCAGUUCUCGACCUGAUUCAAACAAUAUUUGCAAUCCAAGAGUAGCCAUUACUGAUGCAAAAACAACAAUUCCCUGCACAAGCCAUAAAAAGUUUUUAUUUAUAUAUGACCUCACAUGGCAUGAUUCAUGAAGUUGACUGAAAUUAUAUAAUUGCCAUACUUGGACUAGUGAACCAUUAAACUACAUUAAGGACUUGAGGUUCCUUCAAGGGGAAAAUUUUAAGCACCAAUCAAGCUAAGUUGUCAUGACAAUAUUUUUCAUAUCUUUAGUGCAUUGAUAGCCUUAAAUAAAUUCCAAUUUAUGUAUUUCCUGAGGAAGGAAGACUUACAACAGGUUGCCGUCUAUAUAUAUAUAUGACCUCACAUGGCAUGAAUCAUNCUAAUUAUAUAUAUGACCUCACAUGGCAUGAAUCAUGAAGUUGACUGAAAUUAUAUAAUUCCCAUACUUGAACCAAUGAACCAUUAAAUUACAUUAAGGACAUGAGGUUCCUUUAACGGGAAAAUUUUAAGCACUAAUCAAACUACGUUGUCAUAACAAUAUUUUUCAUAUCUUUAGUGCAUUGAUAGCUCUAAAUAAAUUCCAAUUUAAGUUUUUUCUGAGGAAGGAAGACUUACAACAGGUUGCAUUCUAUUUUUGCCAAUAGGGUAGCGAUACUGAUUCGGUUUUCUCAUUGCAUAAGCAGUAAACCACAAAAUAAAGCCUGACAAGAGAUCCAGUAAAGAAUCCAAGGUUGAUGCUAUGACUGCCAAUGAUCUACUCUCCACAGAGGCAUAAACUUUUGCUAAGAAAAGCACCAAAUUCGCCACAUUGGAUGCAUAUAUUGCUACCCUCUCACUCCUUUCUAGCUUGUCCAUUUCCUCCUGAAAUAAACAUAUGUUUUGCAUCGUAGCACGUUAUGUUUAGCAAAUUCUAAGGAGUUAAAGAGGAUAAAUCCAAAUAAAACUGCAAACCAAUAAACCUCAGUCAAACUCCCAGGCAAAAUGCCCAAUUCAUUAAAUGUGUCCACUUCAGUGAACCCUUUGAGAAGCUUUUCCUGCCUCUUGUAAUACUCUGAAACUUUUCUCUGUCUCCCUGCAAAAGGAUACACAAUUGCAAAUGGUCCAAGCACUCUGCAACACUAUGCCAAGUAAAUAUGACCAUGAACAAGAUCAAUGGAAUUGCUUACUUAAAACCUUGAUAAAAGCCCCAAGGCUAAAACAAGAAGACUCCACUCGUCUCUCUGGAAGGUGAAACUUAUCCAUGUUGAGUCGCCAAGUUUGUUCAGUUGCCAUAGUGUCAUUCUCUCCAGCCGGAGCAGGUGACAGAAGCUCCGUUCGGUAGUCUGAUGAAUCUGUCCGAAGGUUGUUCGCCAUUUUAAUUUCCUUGAACAAGAGAUUUCUUAGAAGGGGAAGAGCAAGUUAUAUAAGAAAAUUUUUAAACACAACUGCUCCAAAGAUAUGAACGCAAACACAACUGCUCCACUCACGGAAAAGCACAAUGGCUUACCAUGUUAUGAAUUAUGCAAGCAUGGAGAAUGUCGUUUGCAGCAAAGACUUUGCUGUUGGUUUUGGUUUUUUUAUUAAUGGUAUUUAACUGUGUAUGAAUUUGAGUAUCACUUGUCUCAUGCCUUAUUGGAGCAAAAAAGGCUGACAUAAUGUAUUACGUAUGAAAGGAAUCAAAAUCUAGGCAUAUAAUUUCCUUGUUCACACCUGAAUAGGACAUUUCAGUUUUAUGUUGUUGGACUUUUAAUUUGAUCUUGUUUUGGGGAAACUCCUUAGACUGAUCAAAUUGGACAAAGACAAGCAAGCACAGCAGGUGAGCUCAGUCUGCACAACAACAAAGAUAAACUAAUAAAAUAAUCAUCCCGAAUGCAGCCCAAUUAAUAAAGGAAUAAUACUCAAAUAAGUUUUUGAAUUAUUAAAAAAUAUUCAAAUAAAUUCUAAUUUUUUAUUAUAUUUAAUCAAACUCUUAUAUUUUUAUUUUAAAUUAAAUAAAUAUUAAUAAUUAACUAAUUAUCAUUAAUAAAAUAUAAAUUCUAUAUUUAAAGUAUAGUAAAUUUUUUAUCAACUGUUAAAUUACACAAUCAAACUUUGUUGAUAAUUUGUGUAAAUUAAAUUUUUUUAUUUUUUAAUUUGUUCAAUUUUCAUCAUUAACAUUUGCUGACAUCACUUUUUUCUUUCUAAAAUUUGUUUUUUAAUCGUUAUACGAAACUAUAGUAAUUUUAACACAAAAUAAUUAUUUUUGUAAAAACUACAAUAAUUAUUAUACAAAACCAUAAUAAUUAUUGUUGCAAUUAUUAUACAAAAUUAUACAAAAAAGUUGGUAUAAAAAUCAAUUACAUAAGUCGACCUUUCCCAGAGAUGAAACUUUUUGAAAGCAAUGGCAGACAACUGUUAAACUCGUUGGUUAGAGAUGUUGACGAAUAUGUUUAAUCUUCACAAUUUUAUUUUGAUUUUGAGGGCCUAUCAUUUUCAUCACAAUUUAGAGUCAAAUAUUUAAUGCCAUUUAAUUUGGAAUUUCCUAGUAUAAAUAUUUCAAAUAAAACAGAAAUGCAAAUAAAAAAAAAGUAGUAUGGAUCAGAUUUCUGGCUUGAAUUCUCAUGAAAAUGAGAAUAAAAUCGCACAGUUUGUUCAGCUUCGAUCAUCUGGGGAAAUAAUCAUCACCUCCACAAUAAUUAACACUAAUUAAUUCCUAUAACAAAGUGAAAAAAAUAAUUAAAAAUUAGAAAAUAAUGUAAAAUUGAGGUGAAGAUGGAUCAGAGUUCUGGCUUGGAAUCUCUAACGAAUUAGAGAAAAACAAUCGCACAGUUUGUUCAGCUUCGAUCAUCUGGGGAAAUAAUCAUCACUUCCAUCUUCACCAUUCAUCUCUUUCUAAAUUCAUUUUAUUUUUUAAAAAAUACGGAAAAUAAACAAAUAUAUAAAUUCCAAAAUGUAGGGGCAUCUGAAUGCAUCAAACUUACAGAAAAAAAAAAAGGGAAAAUGCCAGAAUCUCAGCCCCAAAUGGGUAUCGGCAACGUACAGCGCUGAAGUCGCUAUUUUAAUUUAAGCGCAACAGUGACUCUAAUUUAUUGCCUUCUUUUCCAUUGAAAAACUCUAAAAAAACCAAACAAACAAACAGAAAAAUAGAAAGGCUCAGAGAGUAAUGAUUUAUGAUUACAUCAAGGAGACAUGAGCUCUCAUAGUUUGAUGGUAUAAUUUUCGUCAUCACCGCCUCAUAAAAAGAAAGGAAAAUUUAUAAAUAAAUAAAUCGAGGCAAAAAUAAAACAAAAAUGGUGCCUCAGAAACUAGGCUUACAUACAUCAAAGAAGAGAAAAAUCUCAGAUGGUACGGACAAAACCAUGUACAUCACAGGCGUUUAAGAAUCGAAAUAAAACGAAAAUCAAUAAAGAUCUAAUGGAAGGACAAAAGAACAGAGAAAGGAGAAGCUUUUAAACAGAGGAAGAGAGAGAGAGCCGAU
rnacentral:lncRNA from 1 species